CCCGGGGAACUGAAACAUCUAAGUACCCGGAGGAAAGGAAAUCAACAGAUACUCCCCUAGUAGUGGCGAGCGAACGGGGAUCAGCCGAGCCGUGAGAAUGACCAGAAUGGCCUGGAAAGGCCAGCCAUAGUGGGUGACAGCCCCGUAUGGGAAGUUUGAUCGGACGUAUUAAGUAGGGCGGGACACGUGAAAUCCUGUCUGAAGAUCGGGGGACCACCCUCGAAGGCUAAGUACUCCUUACUGACCGAUAGCGAACCAGUACCGUGAGGGAAAGGUGAAAAGCACCCCGACGAGGGGAGUGAAAACAGUUUCUGAAACCGGACGCCUACAAGCAGUCGGAGCCUCCUUGAGAGGUGACGGCGUACCUUUUGUAUAAUGGGUCAACGACUUGGUCUAUCUAGCAAGCUUAAGCCGGUAGGUGUAGGCGCAGCGAAAGCGAGUCUUAAAUGGGCGACUUAGUUAGAUGGAUCAGACCGAAACCAGAUGAUCUAGGCAUGAGCAGGAUGAAGGUU
rnacentral:rRNA from 1 species